rnacentral:rRNA from 1 species
AUUGAACGCUGGCGGCAUGCUUUACACAUGCAAGUCGAACGGUAACAGGCCGCAAGGUGCUGACGAGUGGCGAACGGGUGAGUAAUGCAUCGGAACGUGCCCAGUCGUGGGGGAUAACUACUCGAAAGAGUAGCUAAUACCGCAUACGAUCUAUGGAUGACAGCGGGGGACCGUAAGGCCUCGCGCGAUUGGAGCGGCCGAUGUCAGAUUAGGUAGUUGGUGGGGUAAAGGCUCACCAAGCCAACGAUCUGUAGCUGGCCUGAGAGGACGACCAGCCACACUGGGACUGAGACACGGCCCAGACUCCUACGGGAGGCAGCAGUGGGGAAUUUUGGACAAUGGGCGCAAGCCUGAUCCAGCAAUGCCGCGUGCAGGAAGAAGGCCUUCGGGUUGUAAACUGCUUUUGUACGGAACGAAACGGCUCUGGUUAAUACCCGGGGCUAAUGACGGUACCGUAAGAAUAAGCACCGGCUAACUACGUG